rnacentral:rRNA from 1 species
GAUGAACGCUGGCGGCGUGCCUAAUACAUGCAAGUCGAGCGAACAGACGAGGAGCUUGCUCCUCUGACGUUAGCGGCGGACGGGUGAGUAACACGUGGAUAACCUACCUAUAAGACUGGGAUAACUUCGGGAAACCGGAGCUAAUACCGGAUAAUAUAUUGAACCGCACGGUUCAAUAGUGAAAGACGGUUUUGCUGUCACUUAUAGAUGGAUCCGCGCCGCAUUAGCUAGUUGGUAAGGUAACGGCUUACCAAGGCAACGAUGCGUAUCCGACCUGAGAGGGUGAUCGGCCACACUGGAACUGAGACACGGUCCAGACUCCUACGGGAGGCAGCAGUAGGGAAUCUUCCGCAAUGGGCGAAAGCUUGACGGAGCAACGCCGCGUGAGUGAUGAAGGUCUUCGGAUCGUAAAACUCUGUUAUUAGGGAAGAACAAAUGUGUAAGUAACUAUGCACGUCUUGACGGUACCUAAUCAGAAAGCCACGGCUAACUACGUG